AACGGAACAAUCGAACAAACUUACCAAUUACCAGAAUCCAGAUUCCAAAAGACAAAUAGACAAUGAGGGUACAACAACAAUCUUCCCUGCUACGAACCCAAACGAAGACAAUCUCUAAAUUGCAGUGUGAAUUUUUUUGCUCAAGAACAAGAAGGACAAUAAUCAAAGAGUAAAUUGGUGAGAACAAUUAAUUUACCUCAUUCUAUUUAUACAACUAUAUAUCUGACUGAUUCUGAUUCAACUGUAAAAAUUGAGAAAUUGAAGAGAUUAAUACCUUCCCCAUGAAAUAAAAUUGGCGUCUGCAACGGCUUGAAGCAGAAGACGAAGCGUUUUUUUUUUUCCCGAGAAUUACGCCUGGAAUUUGAAACAGAUGAGAUUUAAUGUUUGAUUUUAGAUAUCUAACGAUUUAGUAUUUACCGAUAACAGAUUUUGGGCCCAAUUAACAAGCUUAAUAUUUUUAUUUAAUUAUGGGCCUAUAAUAACUAAUGAAAUAUAAUAAAAAAUUUGGGCCCUCAGAUUUUUGGGGCCCUGGGCCGUCGCCCAGGCCCGCCCGCCCCCAGGGCCGGCCCUG
rnacentral:lncRNA from 1 species